GAUGAACGCUGGCGGCGUGCCUAAUACAUGCAAGUCGAGCGAACAGAUGAGGAGCUUGCUCCUCUGACGUUAGCGUCGGACGGGUGAGUAACACGUGGAUAACCUACCUAUAAGACUGGGAUAACUUCGGGAAACCGGAGCUAAUACCGGAUAAUAUAUUGAACCGCAUGGUUCCAUAGUGAAAGACGGUUUUGCUGUCACUUAUAGAUGGAUCCGCGCCGCAUUAGCUAGUUGGUAAGGUAACGGCUUACCAAGGCAACGAUGCGUAGCCGACCUGAGAGGGUGAUCGGCCACACUGGAACUGAGACACGGUCCAGACUCCUACGGGAGGCAGCAGUAGGGAAUCUUCCGCAAUGGGCGAAAGCCUGACGGAGCAACGCCGCGUGAGUGAUGAAGGUCUUCGGAUCGUAAAACUCUGUUAUUAGGGAAGAACAAAUGUGUAAGUAACUAUGCACGUCUUGACGGUACCUAAUCAGAAAGCCACGGCUAACUACGUG
rnacentral:rRNA from 1 species